rnacentral:rRNA from 1 species
AUACGUAGGGGGCGAGCGUUGUCCGAAAUGAUUGGGCGUAAAGGGCGCGUAGGCGGCUUUGCAAGUCAGUAGUGGAAGUCCAUUUUUCAAGGAUGGAAGUGCUACAGAAACUGCGGAGCUUGAGUGCAGGAGAGGUUAUCGGAAUUCCCGGUGUAGCGGUGAAAUGCGUAGAGAUCGGGAGGAACACCGUGGCGAAGGCGGGUAACUGGACUGCAACUGACGCUGAGGCGCGAAAGUGUGGGGAGCAAACAGGAUUAGAUACCCUGGUAGUCCACACUGUAAACGAUGAAUGCUAGGUGUAGGAGGUAUCGACCCCUCCUGUGCCGCAGUAAACACAGUAAGCAUUCCGCCUGGGGAGUACGGUCGCAAGAUUAAA